rnacentral:rRNA from 1 species
UUAUGGCUCAGGACGAACGCUGGCGGCGUGCUUAACACAUGCAAGUCAUGGGGGCGGAGCAAUCCGCAACCGGCGAACGGGUGCGUAACACGUGAGCGACCUGCCGAUCUGCGGGGGAUAGCCGGCCCAACGGCCGGGUAAUACCGCAUACGCGUCCUCUGGGGCAUCCCUAGGGACGGAAACCUCCGGGGCGGAUCGAGGGGCUCGCGGCCUAUCAGCUAGUUGGUGCGGGUAAUGGCCCACCAAGGCGACGACGGGUAGCUGGUCUGAGAGGAUGGCCAGCCACAUUGGGACUGAGAAACGGCCCAAACUCCUACGGGAGGCAGCAGUGGGGAAUCUUGCGCAAUGGCCGAAAGGCUGACGCAACGACGCCGCGUGUGGGAGGAAGCUCUUCGGGGUGUAAACCACUGUUGCCCGGGACGAACAGCGCUUUUCGAGGCGCCUGACGGUACCGGGUGAGGAAGCACCGGCUAACUCUGUGCCAGCAGCCGCGGUAAUACAGAGGGUGCGAGCGUUGUCCGGAAUCACUGGGCGUAAAGGGCGCGUAGGCGGCUUCUUAAGCGUGCGGUGAAAGCCCGGGGCUCAACCCCGGGUCGGCCGUGCGAACUGGGGAGCUCGAGCACCGUAGAGGCAGGCGGAAUUCCGGGUGUAGCGGUGGAAUGCGUAGAGAUCCGGAAGAACACCGGUGGCGAAGGCGACCUGCUGGGCAGUGGCUGACGAUGAGGCGCGACAGCGUGGGGAGCAAACAGGAUUAGAUACCCUGGUAGUCCACGCCGUAAACGAUGGGCAUUAGGUGCCUGGGGGAGCGACCCUCCGGGUGCCGGCGCUAACGCAUUAAGUGCCCCGCCUGGGGAGUACG